rnacentral:lncRNA from 1 species
AUGGAUUAGAUCUGAUCUAAAUACCAUAUUGAGGAUCUUGAUAUGAACAUGCUAUCUUGAUCUGAAAUAUGAAAAGAAAAUCAAAUGUCAGCAAAAUAAAAUCGAAGAUCAGAUCUCCACACCUUCAGAUCCUGUGGAUGUCCGAAGUUUCGAUCGUAGCCACACACACACCUGACCUCUACUGAUAUCCAUAUGGAGAUAUUUGAUUGGACCACUG